rnacentral:rRNA from 1 species
GACGAACGCUGGCGGCGUGCCUAAUACAUGCAAGUCGAGCGGACGGAUGGGAGCUUGCUCCCAGACCGUCAGCGGCGGACGGGUGAGUAACACGUUGGCAACCUGCCUGUAAGACUGGGAUAACUCCGGGAAACCGGGGCUAAUACCGGAUAACUCUUUCCCUCACAUGAGGGAAAGCUGAAAGAUGGCAUCUCGCUAUCACUUACAGAUGGGCCCGCGGCGCAUUAGCUAGUUGGUGAGGUAACGGCUCACCAAGGCGACGAUGCGUAGCCGACCUGAGAGGGUGAUCGGCGACACUGGGACUGAGACACGGCCCAGACUCCUACGGGAGGCAGCAGUAGGGAAUCUUCCGCAAUGGACGAAAGUCUGACGGAGCAACGCCGCGUGAGUGAUGAAGGUUUUCGGAUCGUAAAACUCUGUUGUCAGGGAAGAACAAGUACCGGAGUAACUGCCGGUACCUUGACGGUACCUGACCAGAAAGCCACGGCUAACUACGUG